rnacentral:rRNA from 1 species
AGCUCCAAUAGCGUAUACUAACGUUGUUGCAGUUAAAAAGCUCGUAGUUGGAUUUCUGUAUUGGUUAGCAGGCCGGCUCUUACGAGUUGUAGCCUUGUUUAAUCGAUGCAUCUUGUCACAAUAGGUACUGACAUUCGCUUGUUGGUGUUCUGGACUGACUCGUUUACUUUGAGAAAAUUGAGUGUUCAAAGCAGGCUAUCGCCUUGAAUAUAUUAGCAUGGAAUAAUGA